UAAAAAAAUUAGUGAGCUUUACUCAUUUCUGCUUACUUUGUUGACCUUACUUUAAGAAACUUAGUAAAGAACACUUUUUGGUGAGUAAAGUUAUUAAACUUAUUAUCUCAAGUAAGCUUUACUUUAAAAAAAUGAGUGAGGCGGACUCGGAAGAAACUCGGGCGGACUCGGCAUCACUCGGCUCGAAUACGCAUGCGCAGUCGACCACUGAAGACGUUCUUUGCUCGAGACGGAUUGGCGGCAGCGAGAAGGCAGUGCACUGUGCGAGUUACUUUCAGGCUUUGAAAAACCUGGCAAUGAAUUAUUCUGGCUGAAUUCUGUCACUUAUCAAGCAAAAAUCUGAGUUGCAAUCAGAGUUCUUCAAAGAUCUCGACAAAUACACUCCUCGCUUCCUGGAGAAGUUCAAGACCCAGAGGGGGAAAGUGUCGGACAGAAACUUGAAUAUCUGCAACAAGUCACACCUGGGAGUACAGAUGUGACUGGGAGGUGAACAGCAGUCCUCCGUGGCCUUCCUGUCAUCCUUGGAGAUGACAACGCAGACUUCUUCAAGAAUUUGAGGUUCAGGAGCAGCCAAUAUGAUGCAGGUGUGACGGCUGAAGAUGGUAGGUGUGAGUUUAGGAUGGCAUGAAGCUUCGACUUGACCCUAUGGAAACACAGCAGAUGCCACCAAAGGGUCCUGAUCGGGGUGUGUUGUGAUGCAACUGCAUCGACCUGUUCUCAGGCCCUUCUACAUUCUGUUGUUUACAUUUGCUCUAUUAUUGUUGUUCCAUUCAAAUAUCCCUAUUUGUAAAUAUGAUAAUUCAUAUUCUUUAUUAUUAGCUUUUGCAAUCAUUCAGUGAAUCACAUGAUCAAUGAAUUAAUCAUCGCACUCACUCCUGAGCAUCUUUCACUUGAUUAUCUAAUAAUAUCAGAAUCCAAGUAACCAUUGUGUGUUCUACCAUAGAAAUGCAACGUGAAAUUUGACAUGUAAUUGUGUUUUUUAUGCUGCUCUUGU